rnacentral:misc_RNA from 1 species
CUACACCUCACCCAAAAAUAAAAAAGAAAAAUAAAAAUGACCAAUUUGUUGGAAUUUAAUUAUCCCACUUCCCGUUUCUCCAUCUCCACGAAACAAAACCCACACCGCGUUCUUCCCCAAAUUACCCUCUUUCUUCUGUCUCUCUACCUCCAUCUCUCUCAUGGAUCAGCCAACAAUCAGCGCAAGGAGAAGCUUGAAGCGGAAGCUAGAGCAGGAAUUCCAUGAAGAUAGAGAUGAUCGCAAGUUUCCGGCCACCGAAACCGAAGCUGAAGCCGAUAAGACUUGCCAAGAUCUGGCGCGUGAUAUCCAAGCCCAAGUGGAUAUCCUUAACUCUUCUAUCGCUUCUUUGGAAGCCGAUCGAACCGCUGCCAAGCGUGCUGUUCACUUCCUUUCUCAGCUUGCCAAGAACGAGGAACUCGUUAAUUUGAUAGUGAGUUGUGGAGCUGUGCCAGCGCUGGUGAUGCAUCUUCAGGCGCCGCCGCCUUUGAGAGGUGAAAGUAGUCUGAUACCGUACGAACAUGAGGUGGAGAAAGGAAGUGCUUUCACGCUUGGACUUAUCGCUGUGAAACCUGAACAUCAACAACUCAUAGUAGAUUCUGGAGCUCUAUUCCAUCUUGUGGAGUUGUUGAAGAGACAUAAGAGUAGUGGUAAUUCUCGAGCAGUCAAUGGUGUAAUCAGGAAAGCAGCUGAUGCAAUCACUAACCUUGCUCAUGAGAAUAAUGUCAUUAAAACACGUGUCAGGAUUGAAGGUGGCAUCCCGCCUCUUGUUGAAUUGCUUGAGUGUGUUGAUGUAAAGAUACAGAGAGCAGCUGCAGGGGCAUUGCGGACCCUUGCAUUUAAAAAUGAUGAAAACAAAAAUCAGAUUGUAGAAUGCAAUGCUCUACCCACUCUUAUACUGAUGCUUCAAUCAGAGGAUACUACCAUCCAUUAUGAAGCGGUUGGUGUUAUUGGAAAUCUGGUCCACUCUUCCCCCAACAUAAAGAAAGAAGUUCUUCUUGCUGGAGCUUUACAACCAGUGAUUGGAUUGCUUAGCUGCAGCUGUUCUGAAAGCCAAAGAGAAGCAGCAUUGUUAUUGGGUCAAUUUGCUGCUGCUGAUUCAGAUUGUAAGGUGCAUAUAGUUCAAAGAGGAGCUGUCCGGCCAUUAAUUGAUAUGCUCGAUUCCCCAGAUGCACAACUUAAAGAAAUGUCAACCUUUGCACUUGGGAGGUUGGCACAGGAGACACACAACCAAGCUGGUAUUGCCCAUAAUGGUGGCAUAAUGCCAUUGCUUAAGCUUCUUGAAUCAAAGAAUGGAUCUUUGCAACAUAAUGCUGCUUUUGCUCUAUAUGGCCUUGCUGAUAAUGAGGAUAAUGUUGCAGAGCUUGUCAAGGUUGGUGGUGUUCAGAAACUGCAAGAUGGAGAAUUCAUUGUUCAAGCCACAAAGGAUUGUGUUGAAAAAACAUUGAAAAGACUAGAGGAGAAAAUUCAUGGGCGAGUACUGAAACUCCUUUUAUAUUUGAUGCGGGUUGCAGAGAAAUCUGUUCAAAGACAAAUUGCUUUGGCUCUUGCUCAUCUCUGUGCUUCUGAUGAUCGAAAAGCUAUUUUUCUUGAUAACCAUGGGUUAGAGUUGCUGCUGGGGCUUCUUGAGUCUGGAAACCAGAGGCAGCAACAUGCUGGUGCUGUGGCUUUGUACAAGUUGGCCACCAAAACCACUUCAAUCUCCCUUUUGGAUGCAGCUCCUUUAUCUCCAACACCACAGGUAAAUUUCUUUUAUGUUAUCUUUUUGAUAAAGGUGUAAAUCUUUCAUUUUCUUUUCUUAGAAUGCUUUUAGGCAUAGGACUAUAUCAUAUGCAGUGUGCACUUGAAUUGCAUGUGGUGCUUUUCCGGUGAGAUAGUGCUCUGAAUGAGAGUUUGUUUCUUUGUUUACAUAAUUGUUUGUGAGGCCAUUAUUAGACUUUUUAUCAACAAGUGGUUUAUUUCAAUCAUUAUGAUUGUCUCAGCUUUCAGCCACCAAUUGAUCUCUGGCAUUUCAGUGAUUUGGUAAGCUCUUAUGUUGCAGGUAAAGACAAAUUGCAAAAUUAACUUUUGUAUUUGAUAUUCUCACUGCAGGUAUAUUUGGGUGAGCAAUAUGUUAACAAUUCCACAUUGGCUGAUGUUACAUUCUUAGUUGAAGGUAAACGGUUCUACGCUCAUAGAAUUUGUCUGCUUGCUUCUUCGGAUGCUUUCCGUGCAAUGUUUGAUGGGGGUUACAGGGUGAGAAUUUAUUACUUAUUAAACGUAUGCUUUCGUUGUAUGUUCUGUAAGGAAUUUGUGUGUUUGUUCUUCUGUUAUUGAUCUUUACUAACCUGUCCCUAAAAUAUGCAUAGACAGAAUUAGGAACAUUAUUCAUAGUCACUCAACUGUUGAGGGUGACAAGUUCUCUAUCAUUAAUGAACUGCCCUUUUAUAAGGGAAUGUUACUUUAACUACUCUGCAAUGUCUUGCCCUCUUCUUAUGUGUUUAUUGUGUGCCAGCUAAAAGAAAUUUGUAGUUUUAGAGAAAAAUGGUUUCUGAAUUUCUAACUUAUUACUUGUUGAAAAAACAAAAAUUGCAGGAGAGGGAUGCUAAAGAUGUAGAGAUUCCAAAUAUUAGAUGGGAUGUUUUUGAGUUGAUGAUGAGGUUCAUAUAUACAGGAUCUGUGGAUGUUGAUAUUGAGAUUGCACAGGAUCUUCUUAAAGCUGCUGAUCAAUAUCUUUUGGAAGGUCUUAAGCGUCUCUGUGAGUGUACUAUUGCACAGGUUAGCUAAUGUGUUUUGAUAUUUGCCCUUUAAUUACACAAUUAACAAAUUAAAGUUGGUCUGAUGAAUUCUUGUCAUCUUACUUAUCUUAAGGAUAUUUCCGUGGAAAAUGUUUCACUUAUGUACGAGUUAUCAGAAGGCUUUAAUGCUAGGUCAUUGAUGGAAGCUUGCAUACUUUUUAUAUUUGAGCAAUUUGACAAAAUGAGUUCCAAGCCAUGGUAUGUUAUUUCCUUCCAGCUUUUCUCUCUAUCCUUUCUGUGUUAUGUUUCUAAGCACUAUAAUCUUGAAUGAUAUUUACUGACAUGCAAAUUAGAUUAGUAUUUUGGUAGUAUCUUUUGUGGGUGGAACAGUAAUUAAUCACACUUCAAAAUUUGUGUUUUGAUUUUCUUAAAAUUUUUUGCAUUUCUUGUAAUCUUUUGACGUUUGAAUUUUUUUCGCGCUUGUUUGAUUCUUUCCUCAAUUAUAAGCAGUUAAAUAAGUGUUAGUUUCUCUAAUUCUCAGUAUUUGGGCUUGAUGCAUGUCCUACUCAGGCGACUUCCGUUUCAUCCACUAUUAGUUGACUUCAAUUGGUUUUGAAUGGUUCUGAAUUUAAUGCCUGAUAAUUUGCAGGUGUUCUGAUUUGAUCCAAAACAUUUUGCCUGAGGUACAAAAUUACUUUAUUAAAGCACUUACCAAGCCAUCCAAACUAACUUGAAGCAACUGUAGAUGAUUCAUCUGGUUUUGAUCUUUAACUAACAACUAAGAUGGAAGGCGAGGCAUGUACAGAAAUUCUGGGGUUGAGCUAAUGUGGCUAAUCUUCUUUUUGUGUAAGCAUAGUCAGGAACCCAAGAUUAAUUCAAAUGGUACAAUUUUUUUAGUAAUCAUUCAUAUUGAAGCGAUCUGUCGUAUAUGGGUGCUUAAUCACUGUUAACCCAUGAUUUUAUCAGUGCUCUCUAGAAAUCAUGUAGUAAAUGGAUAUAAUUGUAGCUAAGUUCUAGGUAAAAUGUUGGGCUACUGUUUUUGUUAGCAUGGAUAUGGCUACGAUUUUUUUCAUAGGUAUGUACCACAAUUCAGUCUGUAAUUAUGACUAAGGGAAAGGUUGUAUUUAUUCUACUAAAAUUUACAUAAAUUUUUGAAAAAUCCAUGAAUUGAUGUCUUUGUAUUAUCUUCACACAAGAAAGAGAAAUGCAUGUGAUAUUAUUUUAUAAUAAAUCAUAAGAAGAUUCGUUAU